rnacentral:rRNA from 1 species
AUUAGAGUUUGAUCCUGGCUCAGAUUAAACGCUGGCGGCAUGCCUUACACAUGCAAGUCGAACGGCAGCACGGGGGCAACCCUGGUGGCGAGUGGCGAACGGGUGAGUAAAGCAUCGGAACGUGCCCUGGAGUGGGGGAUAACGUAGCGAAAGUUACGCUAAUACCGCAUAUUCUGUGAGCAGGAAAGCAGGGGAUCGCAAGACCUUGCGCUCUGGGAGCGGCCGAUGUCGGAUUAGCUAGUUGGUGGGGUAAAGGCCUACCAAGGCGACGAUCCGUAGCGGGUCUGAGAGGAUGAUCCGCCACACUGGGACUGAGACACGGCCCAGACUCCUACGGGAGGCAGCAGUGGGGAAUUUUGGACAAUGGGCGAAAGCCUGAUCCAGCCAUGCCGCGCGAGUGAAGAAGGCCUUCGGGUUGUAAAGCUCUUUCGGUGGGGAAGAAAUUGCAUAGGCUAAUACCCUGUGUAGAUGACGGUACCUGGAGAAGAAGCACCGGCUAACUACGUGCCAGCAGCCGCGGUAAUAAU